rnacentral:lncRNA from 1 species
GAUAGGCAAAGUCAAAGCUUCCAACUGCAAGAGGUAACACUCUGCACAGGAGAAGUCUUCCAGAAGCAACAAUCUUGACAUAAGGAAGAUGCAGAAAGUCUGCCGAGGGGAGUUUCCAUCAACUAUCUUGGGGACAGGUGGUUAAAUAACAAUAAGAUCCGCCGGAGAAGAAACUCUAUUGGGGAAGCUUAUCAAGGAGUGAUAUGGAACUCUGUGGGGAACAACCAC